rnacentral:rRNA from 1 species
GACGAACGCUGGCGGCGUGCUUAACACAUGCAAGUCGAACGGUGAAGGGACCGGUUUUUGCUGGUUCUGGAUGAGUGGCGAACGGGUGAGUAACACGUGAGUAACCUGCCCCCUUCUUCUGGAUAACCGCAUGAAAGUGUGGCUAAUACGGGAUAUUCUGCGCCUGCUGCAUGGUGGGUGUGGGAAAGAUAUUGUUUCGGUGGGGGAUGGGCUCGCGGCCUAUCAGCUUGUUGGUGGGGUGAUGGCCUACCAAGGCGGUGACGGGUAGCCGGCCUGAGAGGGUGGACGGUCACACUGGGACUGAGACACGGCCCAGACUCCUACGGGAGGCAGCAGGGGGGAAUAUUGCACAAUGGGCGCAAGCCUGAUGCAGCGACGCCGCGUGAGGGAUGGAGGCCUUCGAGUUGUAAACCUCUUUCGCCAGUGAAGCAGGCCUGUCCCUUGUGUGGGUGGGUUGACGGUAGCUGGAGAAGAAGCGCCGGCUAACUACGUG